GAUGAACGCUGACGGCGUGCCUAAUACAUGCAAGUCGAGCGAACGGACGAGAAGCUUGCUUCUCUGAUGUUAGCGGCGGACGGGUGAGUAACACGUGGAUAACCUACCUAUAAGACUGGGAUAACUUCGGGAAACCGGAGCUAAUACCGGAUAAUAUUUUGAACCGCAUGGUUCAACAGUGAAAGACGGUCUUGCUGUCACUUAUAGAUGGAUCCGCGCUGCAUUAGCUAGUUGGUAAGGUAACGGCUUACCAAGGCAACGAUGCAUAGCCGACCUGAGAGGGUGAUCGGCCACACUGGAACGGAGACACGGUCCAGACUCCUACGGGAGGCAGCAGUAGGGAAUCUUCCGCAAUGGGCGAAAGCCUGACGGAGCAACGCCGCGUGAGUGAUGAAGGUCUUCGGAUCGUAAAACACUGUUAUUAGGGAAGAACAUAUGUGUAAGUAACUGUGCACAUCUUGACGGUACCUAAUCAGAAAGCCACGGCUAACUUCGUG
rnacentral:rRNA from 1 species